AUUGUUGAUUUCUUCUCUUAAGCCGGAGCUCGGCUUCAGGAGUACUUUUCAAAAUAUCAUGUAUUUUGCUAACUCUAUAUAACUCCAUGUGUCAUUUCAUCCAGAAAACUUGUUUCUAAUGCUUUUUUCUCUGGACUCUAAGCUGGUUGAUGCCACCAGGCCUUGGGAAAAAGCCUGCCUUCUGAUAGGAUUGCUAUUGAGUAGCAAAAAUUCUUGGAUUCUGAUAACAUCUUUCAUGCAGAAACUCAAAGCAUCUCCCAAAUUAUAAGCCCAUUCUUUUACACUGUUCUACACUCUCACACUCUAGGAACAACUCAUUUCAAUCUUGGGACAUUGACCAGAAUUCAGGGAAACUAGCAUGAUCCUUCCAGUCUGACGUUUCAUUCCAUCUACUGUCCAAAGCUGUGUCUACAAGGCAUCACCUAUGAGACAAUAAAACAAACCCUCUGAAAUCAGGAAAUUUGCCAGAAGAUGGCGAGCUGGGAAGAAAUAAAACCAGGAUUUGAGCCAGCAAUGUAUGCAGAAUUUGAAAUGCUUUAGUUGAGAAAGCAUUUUGAAACAAUGCCCUGCAGGCACUUCAAGAAUUGGCUUCUGAUUCUCCAAAGGAAGAUUACAUUAUCCUCAUAUCAUUGCUAACCUCUCCACUCCAUGGAAUCACAUUUUCCUGCAAACGCAUCAUGAGCACUUAUUUAAAUACCUAAUCAUUGGCAGAAAUGCAGCUGUGUUCAUCAUUGUCAAUUCUGAUUUGUAUGAUGUUCCCAUCCAAACAUACCUCAGGGUACAUUUGCACAUCUAAUUACAACAUUAAAACUAAUAAUAGCCUGAUAAAA
ensembl:lncRNA novel transcript